CCUAGAGCUAUCCUUAUCAACUAGAUUCGUUAAGUCCUUCAUUUUAUCUUUAUACCAACUCAGUGAGAAUUGGAAGUAGAAGAAUCACAAUGGCUCUCUGCAGGAUCUGAGGUGGAAGAAUCCAAAAUGGCUGUCUGUGCUGAUGCAGUAGUGGAGGAAGGGUGAAGGCCUGGAUGCUCACUGUAGAGUCCCCUGUGUGAGUUUGUGUUGGAAGGCUGAAUAUUCUGCAUAGUCUGAGCUGAAGGCUCAAGAAACUGGAGACCAGCAUCGCUAAAGGGAUCGAACUCAGGAUCUUGUGCUUGCCAGGCAGACCCAGCACCAUUGAGCUAAAUCCCCGGCCCUAAGG
rnacentral:lncRNA from 1 species